ACUCUUGUUACUCUUCAGAUCGUAUAAGUCUUUCGUCUUUCACUAAAGAUUUCCAUGGAGAGGAACAAGUAUUUGACUUAGUUUCUUGAUGCCCUGUGAAAAUGGGAGU